rnacentral:rRNA from 1 species
GAUGAACGCUGGCGGCGUGCCUAAUACAUGCAAGUCGAGCGAACAGAUGAGGAGCUUGCUCCUCUGACGUUAGCGGCGGACGGGUGAGUAACACGUGGAUAACCUACCUAUAAGACUGGGAUAACUUCGGGAAACCGGAGCUAAUACCGGAUAAUAUAUUGAACCGCAUGGUUCAAUAGUGAAAGACGGUUUUGCUGUCACUUAUAGAUGGAUCCGCGCCGCAUUAGCUAGUUGGUAAGGUAACGGCUUACCAAGGCGACGAUGCGUAGCCGACCUGAGAGGGUGAUCGGCCACACUGGAACUGAGAUACGGUCCAGACUCCUACGGGAGGCAGCAGUAGGGAAUCUUCCGCAAUGGGCGAAAGCCUGACGGAGCAACGCCGCGUGAGUGAUGAAGGUCUUCGGAUCGUAAAACUCUGUUAUUAGGGAAGAACAAAUGUGUAAGUAACUAUGCACGUCUUGACGGUACCUAAUCAGAAAGCCACGGCUAACUACGUG